rnacentral:rRNA from 1 species
AUCGGUGACAGGUGGUGCAUGGUUGUCGUCAGCUCGUGUCGUGAGAUGUUGGUUAAGUCCGCAACGAGCGCAACCCUAUUGUUAGUUGCCAUCAUUCAGUUGGGCACUCUAGCGAGACUGCCGGUAAUAAACCGGAGGAAGUGGGGAUGACGUCAAUCAUCAUGCCCCUUAUGACCUGGGCUACACACGUGCUACAAUGGUUGGUACAACGAGUUGCGAGUCGGUGACGGGCGAGCUAAUCUCUUAAAGCCAAUCUCAGUUCGGAUUGUAGGCUGCAACUCGCCUACAUGAAGUCGGAAUCGCUAGUAAUCGCGGAUCAGCACGCCGCGGUCGAAUACGUUCCCGGGCCUU